rnacentral:lncRNA from 1 species
GUGAAACUGUCUGCAUUACAUCACCAUAUCCUGGAAAUCCAGGUCCCCCGGGUUUUAAAGGUGUUCAAGGACAAAAGGGUUUAAAAGGACUCCCUGGGCAUCCUGGACCAAAUGGCUUUGAUGGGCAAAAAGGCCAUCGAGGAAGGCCAGGAGCAGGAAUCCCUGGGCCAGAAGGCUUUAGAGGCACAGCUGGUGAUCCUGGUGAUGAAGGUGAAAGAGGAGCUACAAUUGAUGGCAAAAAUGGCCUUCCAGGUCCACCUGGCACAGAUGGUCAGAAGGGUCUCCCAGGUGACACCACAUAUGGCCCUCCAGGAAUCCCAGGCAACAGGGGACUGCCAGGACCCCCUGGUGCUCAGGGAGCAAGGGGCAAUCCAGGCAUUCCUGGACUUCAAGGUAUGGGCCAGUUUCUAUGAAACACUUCUACAUGUUCAAAGGACAGAAUCCGAGCAAAAAGUGCUCCUGGUUCAGAGAAAACUUCCUCUCACUCAGAUCCAUAAUGGUGACUGUGGACUGUACUCCCUGUUUUUACAUUUACAUUUUGCUGUUCGCUGCAGUGAUGUCUCCACAGCACCGCGUCCUUCCCACCCCACUGAGGAUAUUGCUGUUUCCUUUUACAGGUGUUCCUUUUGCCUGGCCCUAAGCAGAUACACCCAUCCUUCAGUGCAGGGAACACCUCUAGAUCUGACUCAGUGCUGUGCACCUCGUGCAGGCCAGUGAGCUACCCCCAUUCUGCUCCUACACAUCAGAAACUCUCUUCUGUACCUAUAUAUGAGGGUUGAAUUUGUCUUUGUUCCUUAAAGAAAGAAGUUCUCCACAACAGACAGUUCUAAACUGCAGAAGAUCAUCACUUUUCAGAAACAAUGUGAAAACUACAGGAUAAAUAAUAUACUAUAGUAACUGAACAUGUACAUUUCAAAAUUAAAACUAGGAAUUCUGAGGGACAGUGAGUAAUGGAACUAACAAUGUUUUUCUUCCAGGACAACCUGGCACCCCAGGAUUUCCAGGUGCCAAAGGUUUUAGAGGCCCAGAAGGUGAUAUAGGAGCACCAGGCUGUCCAGGCUUCCCUGGCUCACCAUGUGUCCCAGGCUUACCAGGACCACCUGGACUCAGAGGUGUCAUGGGCCUGCCAGGACCUCAAGGUACACAACAGCCAGCUGGUUGCCUCACAGCUCUAAGCUUUGUACAUAUUUUCUGCCAGAUUUAAUCACAUGGUUUUUGUGGCUGGCAUGACAGAUGUUUCCAUGGGGGCUGCUCAUUACUGGGGGUAUACACUGUGUUCUGGACAUUUUUUAAACUCAAGGAAUGUAGACUGUGCAUCUCAGGUGUAUCCCAACUUCCCUUCUCAAGCUGUUCCUUAACUGGCCAAACCACUGUGGGUUCACUGUAAGUAAUAAACAAAGAUCUUAUCUGUUGUCCUGAGUAACU